rnacentral:rRNA from 1 species
AGCAGCCGCGGUAAUUCCAGCUCCAAUAGCGUAUAUUAAAGUUGCUGCAGUUAAAAAGCUCGUAGUUGAAUUUCGGGACUAAUAUGUCGGUCGUGCCUCGGUACGUACUGGUUUAUUGGUUUCUCCUUUCUGAAGAACCAUGAUGUCAUUUAUUUGGUGUCGUGGGGAAUCAGGACUGUUACUUUGAAAAAUUAGAGUGUUUAAAGCAGGCUCACGCUUGAAUACAUUAGCAUGGAAUAAUGAAAUAGGACGUUUGAUUCUAUUUUGUUGGUUUCUAGGAUCGACGUAAUGAUUAAUAGGGAUAGUUGGGGGCAUUAGUAUUCAAUUGUCAGAGGUGAAAUUCUUGGAUUUAUUGAAGACUAACUACUGCGAAAGCAUUUGCCAAGGAUGUUUUCAUUAAUACAAGAACGAAAGUUAGGGGAUCGAAGACGAUCAGAUACCGUCGUAGUCUUAACCAUAAACUAUAGCCGACUAGGGAUCGGAUGA